rnacentral:rRNA from 1 species
GUAGGUGACAAGCGUUAUCCGGAUUUACUGGGCGUAAAGGGCGUGUAGGCGGUCUUGCAAGUCAGAAGUGAAAUUCCUGAGCUCAACUCGGGCGCUGCUUCUGAAACUGCAGGACUUGAGUGCUGGAGGGGAUAGCGGAAUUCCUAGUGGAGCGGUAAAAUGCGCAGAUAUUAGGAAGAACACCGGUGGCGAAGGCGGCUAUCUGGACAGUAACUGACGCUGAGGCGCGAAAGCGUGGAGAGCAAACAGGAUCAGAUACCCUGGUAAUCCACGCCGUAAACGAUGAAUACUAGGUGUAGGGGGUAUCGACUCCCUCUGUGCCGCAGUUAACACAAUAAGUAUUCCGCCUGGGGAGUACGGCCGCAAGGUUG